rnacentral:rRNA from 1 species
AGUAAUGUAUGGGGAUCUGCCUGAUGGCGGGGGAUAACUACUGGAAACGGUAGCUAAUACCGCAUAAUGUCUGCGGACCAAAGCGGGGGACCUCCGGGCCUCUUGCCAUCAGAUGAACCCAUAUGGGAUUAGCUUGUAGGUAAGGUAACGGCUUACCUAGGCGACGAUCCCUAGCUGGUCUGAGAGGAUGAUCAGCCACACUGGGACUGAGACACGGCCCAG